rnacentral:rRNA from 1 species
UGAAACUCAAAGGAAUUGACGGGGGCCCGCACAAGCGGUGGAGCAUGUGGUUUAAUUCGAAGCAACGCGAAGAACCUUACCAGGUCUUGACAUCCUUUGACCACUCUAGAGAUAGAGCUUUCCCUUCGGGGACAAAGUGACAGGUGGUGCAUGGUUGUCGUCAGCUCGUGUCGUGAGAUGUUGGGUUAAGUCCCGCAACGAGCGCAACCCUUAUUGUUAGUUGCCAUCAUUUAGUUGGGCACUCUAGCGAGACUGCCGGUGACAAACCGGAGGAAGGUGGGGAUGACGUCAAAUCAUCAUGCCCCUUAUGACCUGGGCUACACACGUGCUACAAUGGGAAGUACAACGAGUCGCUAGACCGCGAGGUCAUGCAAAUCUCUUAAAGCUUCUCUCAGUUCGGAUUGCAGGCUGCAACUCGCCUGCAUGAAGCCGGAAUCGCUAGUAAUCGCGGAUCAGCACGCCGCGGUGAAUACGUUCCCGGGCCUUGUACACACCGCCCGUCACACCACGAGAGUUUGUAACACCCGAAGUCGGUGAGGUAACCUUUUUGGAGCCAGCCGCCUAAGGUGGGAUAGAUGAUUGGGGUGAAGUCGUAACAAGGUAGCCGUAUCGGAAGGUGCGGCUGGAUCACCUCCUUUCUAAGGAA